UGAAGCGCGGCUUGGGAGAGCUUUAGCGCUUCGCGGCAACCACGGACGGCCUUUGGGAGAGGGGCGUGCGCGGUUCAGACAAGGGGAGAUCGGCCGAUGGAGAAUGCACUCCUCAUCGGACUGUCGCGGCAGAUGACGUUGG
rnacentral:ncRNA from 1 species